rnacentral:rRNA from 1 species
CGCCGCGUGGGGGACGAAGGCCUUCGGGUUGUAAACCCCUUUUAGCAGGGAAGAAGCGCAAGUGACGGUACCUGCAGAAAAAGCACCGGCUAACUACGUGCCAGCAGCCGCGGUAAUACGUAGGGUGCAAGCGUUGUCCGGAAUUAUUGGGCGUAAAGAGCUCGUAGGCGGUGUGUCGCGUCUGCUGUGAAAAUCCAAGGCUCAACCUUGGACCUGCAGUGGGUACGGGCACACUAGAGUGCGGUAGGGGAGAUUGGAAUUCCUGGUGUAGCGGUGGAAUGCGCAGAUAUCAGGAGGAACACCAAUGGCGAAGGCAGAUCUCUGGGCCGUAACUGACGCUGAGGAGCGAAAGCGUGGGGAGCGAACAGGAUUAGAUACCCUGGUAGUCCACGCCGUAAACGGUGGGAACUAGAUGUGGGGUCCGUUCCACGGAUUCCGUGUCGCAGCUAACGCAUUAAGUUCCCCGCCUGGGGAGUACGGCCGCAAGGCUAAAACUCAA